AGCGAACGUUUGCGGCGGGCUUAACACAUGCAAGUCGAACGGGCUGUUCCUUCGGGGGCAGUCAGUGGCGCACGGGUGCGUAACACGUAGGUAAUCAACCCUCUGGUUGGGGAUAACACUUCGAAAGGAGUGCUAAUACCCGGUAUGGCGCAGCGGUCUUCGGAUCGCGGCGAGAAAGACCCGCAAGGGUUGCCAGAGGACGAGCCUGCGGCCCAUCAGCUAGUUGGCGAGGUAACGGCUCACCAAGGCGAAGACGGGUAGCUGGUCUGAGAGGAUGAUCAGCCACACUGGAACUGAGACACGGUCCAGACUCCUACGGGAGGCAGCAGUGGGGAAUAUUGCGCAAUGGGCGAAAGCCUGACGCAGCCACGCCGCGUGAGCGAUGAAGGCCUGUC
rnacentral:rRNA from 1 species